UUUGAUCAGUGGCUCAGGACGAACGCUGGCGGUGUGCUUCACACAUGCAAGUCGAACGAGGUAGCAAUACCUAGUGGCGGACGGGUGAGUAACGCGUGGGAAUCUGCCUUUAGAUGGGGGAUAACGGGUCGAAAGACUCGCUAAUACCGCAUAUGACGAAAGUUGAAAGGAGUAAUCCGUCUAAAGAUGAGCCCGCGUCCGAUUAGCUAGUUGGUAGAGUAAAAGCCUACCAAGGCGACGAUCGGUAGCUGGUCUGAGAGGAUGAUCAGCCACAAUGGGACUGAGACACGGCCCAUACUCCUACGGGAGGCAGCAGGUGGGGAAAUUUUACGCAAGUGGGACGAAAGCCUGACGUAGCGACACCGCGUGAGCGAAAGAACGCCCCGUUGGGGUAGUAAAGCUCUGUCAGCUGGAACGAAAAAAUGACGGUACCAGCAGAGGAAGCAUCGGCUAACUACGUG
rnacentral:rRNA from 1 species